rnacentral:rRNA from 1 species
AUUGAACGCUGGCGGCAGGCCUAACACAUGCAAGUCGAGCGGAUGAAGGGAGCUUGCUCCUGGAUUCAGCGGCGGACGGGUGAGUAAUGCCUAGGAAUCUGCCUGGUAGUGGGGGAUAACGUCCGGAAACGGGCGCUAAUACCGCAUACGUCCUGAGGGAGAAAGUGGGGGAUCUUCGGACCUCACGCUAUCAGAUGAGCCUAGGUCGGAUUAGCUAGUUGGUGGGGUAAAGGCCUACCAAGGCGACGAUCCGUAACUGGUCUGAGAGGAUGAUCAGUCACACUGGAACUGAGACACGGUCCAGACUCCUACGGGAGGCAGCAGUGGGGAAUAUUGGACAAUGGGCGAAAGCCUGAUCCAGCCAUGCCGCGUGCGUGAAGAAGGUCUUCGGAUUGUAAAGCACUUUAAGUUGGGAGGAAGGGCAGUAAGUUAAUACCUUGCCGUUUUGACGUUACCAACAGAAUAAGCACCGGCUAACUUCGUG